AACGAACGCUGGCGGCAUGCCUAACACAUGCAAGUCGAACGAGACGACCCGGCCUUUUGGCGCCCGGCUUCUUAACGCGUGGGAACCUGCCCUUAAGUACGGCCUACCUCUCCGACAGGGGUGCUUAUACCGGACAGGGUCUUCGCACGAAUGAUUUAUUGCCCCUGGUUGGGCACGCGUUGGAUUAGCUUGUUGGUAGGGUAAAAGCCUACCAAGGCGACGAUCCAUAGCUGGUCUGAGAGGAUGAUUAGCCACACUGGGACUGAGACACGGCCCAGACUCCUACGGGAGGCAGCAGUGGGGAAUAUUGGACAAUGGGCGAAAGCAUGAUCCAGCAAUGACGCGUGAGUGAUGAAGGCCUUAGGGUUGUAAAGCUCUUUUACCCGGGAUGAUAAUGACAGUACCGGGAGAAUAAGCUCCGGCUAACUCCGUG
rnacentral:rRNA from 1 species